rnacentral:rRNA from 1 species
UACGUAGGGCGCAAGCGUUGUCCGGAAUUAUUGGGCGUAAAGAGCUCGUAGGCGGCCUGUUGCGUCCGCUGUGAAAUCCCGGGGCUCAACCCCGGGCGUGCAGUGGAUACGGGCUGGCUGGAGGCAGGCAGGGGAGAACGGAAUUCCUGGUGUAGCGGUGAAAUGCGCAGAUAUCAGGAGGAACACCGGUGGCGAAGGCGGUUCUCUGGGCCUGUACUGACGCUGAGACGCGAAAGCGUGGGGAGCGAACAGG